rnacentral:rRNA from 1 species
UACAGAGGUCUCAAGCGUUGUUCGGAUUCAUUGGGCGUAAAGGGCGCGUAGGUGGUGGCUUAAGCGUGCGGUGAAAGCUCGGGGCUCAACUCCGAGUCGGCCGUGCGAACUGGGCUCACUGGAGCAUAGUAGAGGCAGGUGGAAUUCCGGGUGUAGCGGUGGAAUGCGUAGAGAUCCGGAAGAACACCGGUGGCGAAGGCGGCCUGCUGGGCUAUGGCUGACACUGAGGCGCGACAGCGUGGGGAGCAAACAGG